rnacentral:rRNA from 1 species
GCAGUCGAGCGGUUCAGCAAUGGAUAGCGGCAGACGGGUGCGUAACGCGUAUGAAACUUACCCUACACAGGAGGAUAGCCUUGGGAAACUGAGAGUAACCCUCCAUAGUCUUGUCAUGCCGCAUGGUAUAAUAAGUAAAACUUCGGUGGUGUAGGAUAGUCGUGCGUCCGAUUAGCUAGUUGGUGAGGUAAUGGCUCACCAAGGCGACGAUCGGUAGCUGGUCUGAGAGGAUGAUCAGCCACACGGGCACUGAGACACGGGCCCGACUCCUACGGGAGGCAGCAGUAAGGAAUAUUGGACAAUGGACGGAAGUCUGAUCCAGCCAUCCCGCGUGGAGGAAUAAGGCCCUAUGGGUUGUAAACUCCUUUAGCAGGGGAAUAAAAAGGUCAUUUAUGAUCAAUUGAAGGUACCCUGAGAAUAAGCACCGGCUAACUCCGUGCCAGCAGCCGCGGUAAUACGGAGGGUGCAAGCGUUAUCCGGAUUUACUGGGUUUAAAGGGUGCGUAGGCGGACUAUUAAGUCAAAUGUGAAAGCUUGCAGCUUAACUGUAAGAUUGCGUUUGAUACUGGUAGUCUUGAAUAUGGUAGAAGUUGGCGGAAUAAAUCAUGUAGCGGUGAAUGCUUAGAUAUGAUUUAGAACACCGAUUGCGAAGGCAGCUAGCUAUGUCAUAAUUGACGCUGAGGCACGAAAGCGUGGGGAUCAACAGGAUUAGAUACCCUGGUUGUCCACGCCCUAACGAUGAUACUCGUUGUUGGCGAUAUAC